rnacentral:lncRNA from 1 species
AAGUCAGGUAGAACAGAAGCCUGGAAUUUAUAGAAUAGAUUGCUAAUAUGUUCUAAAAUUGUGUUUAUAUCCCUUUUGCUCUCCCUUGGUGUUUAGCAAGUUCCAGUGGUCUCUGUUGUGUUAAUGGAACCAAAAAAGGGGAUUCACCCUUCAGGUCGCCCUUUAAGUCAUAGGAUAAAAUGAUCAUCAGUGUCUCCUUAGAGUAUUGGAAGAGGAACAUGAAAGGAUGGAGCCUCAUGGGGAAGGUGAAAAUGACAGGAAAAGAGUUAGAGUUAGGGCCUCCUGAUUUCUUUGAGAGAAUAUUCUCGAAGAUUCUAGGCUCUGCUUAUUAAAGCAAACAACCCCUCAUUCAUGUCUGCCUUAUCCUUGGGUCCUUACUAUUCCUAGUGUGGUAUAU